UACAGAGACUGCAAGCGUUAUUCGGAUUCACUGGGCGUAAAGGGUGCGCAGGCGGCCGUGUGUGUGAGGUGUGAAAUCCCGGAGCUUAACUCCGGAACUGCGCCUCAAACUACAUGGCUAGAGCAUUGGAGAGGGAAGUGGAAUUCACGGUGUAGCAGUGAAAUGCGUAGAUAUCAGGAGGAACACCAGUGGCGAAGGCGGCCUUCUGGACCAAUACUGACGCUCAUGCACGAAAGCGUGGGGAGCAAACAGG
rnacentral:rRNA from 1 species